ACAAGGUCGACCAUCUCAUACCCAUUUUCCAGCGUCGCGGUCCUACCAGUCGCUCGCUUGUGCUUGCAUGGUUCCUGACUGAGUCCUCCGGUACCCCCUCUUUCCCUCUGCUAAAGAGGAGCGAUGAGGAAGCGAACAAGGCAGUGGAAGGUUUUUACCUGAGGCUUUGUUUACCUUGCUGAGUUCCGACUUCAUUCCAGAGUUUCUCUGAGCAUCUGGAUUAUCAACUACUGAGUUAAGGAUCUAACUUCCUGUGGAUUUCUCUCACUACCGUCUGUACCUUCGGACACGGACCAAGUUGGCGGCUUCCCGUUUCCUCCAACUCCAGCAUACCCUGUCCCUUCCUCCAUCUCAAACAUCGGCACCUGAGCUCCAUUUGGCUGGCACCAAGAUCACAACAAAAAAGACAACUGAACGAUCUUCCUUCGCAAGUUAAGACUCUGAAUCUCUCUACCCCUGGUGGUUCAAGCUACAACAAUUUAUUGGUGUUUCCAGUCCUCAUCCCAGAUUACUUUGCUGACAAUAAAAUCC